UGAUGAUUAAUGCCUGUAGUAACAGACGCACCAAAUAAAGGGACUAACGUUCAGAGACUAUGUGCUUCAUAUCACAUAAUCUUUUUGAAAAUUUGUGAAGAAGAGAUGGUUUUGUUUUUCAAAUUUGCUUCGAAGGACGUCUUCUAUCCUCAUAGCACCAAACCACGACAUUCUAGAAUGGACAUGAAGAAGUUACACCUGAGGCUUGUCGCAGGUUGAUAAAAAGAAAGUGGUGCACAAAGCACAGAUGUGGAGGAAAUCUCACCCUUUGUAUAAAGCCCUAAAGCCUUCUGUACGAAUGACCUGAAAGCACAGGAGAUUCAAAUGAAACAAGUAAUCAAGAAGAUAGAGCCCAAAAACAAGUCAUCUAAAAUUUAAAUAAAACCACCACAAAUCUAACUGGUUAGUAGAUAGAGCCAAAAUAGAGAGAAUUUGCUAAACAUCGCAACAUAAGAAUAUCUGGGCAAACAAGCUCAAAUGCCUCAUAUUUCUUCUCUUACAAUUUUCUUCAAAUGAGUCUAGGAUUCGUUCACUUCGCAAAAAUGUCAAAGGGUUUUCAAUUUUCAAUUUUCUUGAAAAUCAGAGAGAGUUUUCAAAAAGAAAAUUGUGAAGAUAUGUUUGGACAACUAAUCCAUUUGUGUCUCAGUGGUUGCUACAGUAUUAUAUCA
rnacentral:lncRNA from 1 species